UAGGGAAUAUUAGCAAUGGGCGAAAGCCUGAACUAGCAACACCGCGUGUGCGAAGAAGGCCCUCGGGUUGUAAAGCACUUUUUGAGAGGAUGAGGAAGGAAGGUACUUCCAGAAUAAGUCUCGGCUAACUACGUGCCAGCAGCCGCGGUAACACGUAGGAGGCAAACGUUAUCCGGAUUUACUGGGCGUAAAGCGCGUGUAGGUGGUUCUGUAAGUAGGGCGUGAAAGCUCCCGGCUCAACUGGGAGAGGCCGUUCUAAACUGCAGAACUAGAGGAUGGUAGAGGGAGGUGGAAUUUCAGGUGUAGCGGUGGAAUGCGCAGAUAUCUGAAGGAACACCAGUGGCGAAAGCGGCCUCCUGGACCAUUCCUGACACUCAGACGCGAAAGCUAGGGUAGCAAACG
rnacentral:rRNA from 1 species